UACAGAGGUCUCAAGCGUUGUUCGGAUUCAUUGGGCGUAAAGAGCGUGUAGGCGGCCAUGUAGGUCCGUUGUGAAAACUCGAGGCUCAACCUCGAGACGCCGAUGGAAACCAUGUGGCUAGAGUCCGGAAGAGGAGAGUGGAAUUUCCGGUGUAGCGGUGAAAUGCGUAGAUAUCGGAAGGAACACCUGUGGCGAAAGCGGCUCACUGGACCAUACUGACGCUGAUGCACGAAAGCGUGGGGAGCAAACAGG
rnacentral:rRNA from 1 species